rnacentral:snRNA from 1 species
GUGCUCGCUUUGGCAGCACAUAUAGUAAAAUUGGAAUGAUACAAAGAAGAUUAUCAUGGCCCCUGCACAAGGAUGACAUGCAAAUUCAUGAAGCAUUCCAUAUAAAA